UGUAGUCUGUCAGCAACUAUAGAUGU
rnacentral:piRNA from 1 species